rnacentral:rRNA from 1 species
CCUACGGGAGGCAGCAGUGAGGAAUAUUCGUCAAUGGGCGCGAGCCUGAACCAGCAAUGUCGCGUGAGGGAAGACGGUCCUAUGGACUGUAAACCUCUUUUGUCGGGGAGAAAAAGACGCAAAGCGUGGCGUUCCGAGUGUACACGAAGAAAAAGCAUCGGCUAACUCCGUGCCAGCAGACGCGGUAAGACGGAGGUUGCGAGCGUUAUCCGGAUUUAUGGGGUUUAAAGGGUGCGCAGGCGGAAGAUCAAGUCAGCGGUAAAAUUGAGGGGCUCAACCUCUGCGAGCCGUUGAAACUGGUUUUCUUGAGUGAGUGAGAAGGAUGCGGAAUGCGUGGUGUAGCGGUGAAAUGCAUAGAUAUCACGCAGAACUCCGAUUGCGAAGGCAGCAGACCGGCGCUCAACUGACGCUCAUGCACGAAAGUGUGGGUAUCGAACAGGAUUAGAUACCCUUGUAGUC